rnacentral:rRNA from 1 species
UACGUAGGGGGCAAGCGUUGUCCGGAAUCAUUGGGCGUAAAGCGCGUGUAGGCGGUUCGGUAAGUCGGCUGUGAAAGUCCAGGGCUCAACCCUGGGAUGCCGGUCGAUACUGCCGGACUAGAGUUCGGAAGAGGCGAGUGGAAUUCCCGGUGUAGCGGUGAAAUGCGCAGAUAUCAGGAGGAACACCGAUGGCGAAGGCAGGUCUCUGGGCCACUACUGACGCUGAGAAGCGAAAGCGUGGGGAGCGAACAGG